GGUGAGGUAACCUUCAUGGAGCCAGCCGCCUAAGGUGGGACAGAUGAUUGGGGUGAAGUCGUAACAAGGUAGCCGUAUCGGAAGGUGCGGCUGGAUCACCUCCUUUCUAAGGA
rnacentral:rRNA from 1 species